rnacentral:lncRNA from 1 species
GAAAUUCUUGGUGAAAAAUGUUGCUUCUCAACUCUAAUUGUAAGUCUCGCGGAUGCUUUUGAGAUACGGCCACAGAAUCUCAGUACAGUACAUAGGAAAUGACUCAUAGAGGAGUUAAACCCAACGCGUGGGUGUGGGCCAUAGUGGGCGCUAUUAAAACAAGACUGAAAGUUUGGGGUGGGUCAUUCACACGCGCUGCUUUUGCUAUGCUUGAACCCCAUUUGUGGCUUUUAAUCUUUUGAAAUCGCUGUGGGAUUUCAAUAUAUAUAAAGCUAAAUGGAUUCUGGUGCUAUGUUGCGUUGCCUCUAUUGGAUUACUCUAUUGAUCGCCACUCUUAUUCAUGGAACAAACGCAGAUAAAAGUUCAGCCCUUUGUUUGAAAUCCGAAUUCUGGAACAGAGAUGUCGCACAAUGUGUACCUUGUCAAAUAUGCAAACAGUAUCCGAAAACUCCAUCAUGUGACACAUGCCCACCCAUAGAGCCUUCAGAUUCCUGGAGGGUGGCAGCAAUUACCAGUUUAUCUGUCCUGGCAGCUGUAAUUGUUUGCGGAGCCUUGCUCAUAGGCAUUCUAGUGCAUCAAUUCAGGUCCAAGAGGACUUUACGUGAACCGAUUGAAGAGACAACAGGACCCCUUUAUCAAGUAUAGGAUCUUCAUAAGCUCAUGGAUCUCAAGCUGACGAAAAUGAAAAUGGACUUGUUACUCCAGUGAAUUAAUGCUCCAGUUGGUAAACGCUGGCUGGUACCUCAACCACAGAGUGUUCUACGAGUAGCAUCUGAUUUGUCUAACUUAUUACAUUAGUAGGCUAUGUCAUGCAUAGCAAAUGGUUAUGCACAAAAGCUGCACUGAGACCUUCCUUGUCACUCACUGUGCAGAAUAGGUUUGCAAGCCUUGGUGCUAAGUGACAUCCUAUGGACAGCAUGAUAGCACUGUUUUUGCAGAAAUUUGAGGCCAUUCAUGUUGCACUUAGUGCACUGUAGAUGCAUUCCCACUUGGAAUAUUCCUUGUUAGAUUUGUGAACACGAUAAACAAAUAACCACAAACCGUUUAAUAUAGUAGACUUAGAGAUCAACUUUUUUUACACAAAUAUGCCUCCCUAAACAGAUUUAGUAUGGCACAGCCAUUUGAAUGUAUUUGUAAUCAUUGUUUGUACAGUUUAAUUAUCUAUUUUUAUAGUGUUGGAAUACUACGCACUGUAUAGAUGUAGCCCUUUGUACAACAAUGUUCGGACACCGACUGGCUCAGCAGCCUGUCUAUGGCAUUGAUGAACGUUCUGGAGACACUGAAGACCAGCGAAGCAACAGAAGGCGAUAUCCUGAAAGACAAGAGUCGCCAGCUGACAUUAACAAACUCUUUGAGAAAGAGUCGCGGGUGUCAGAUUCCAUCUGAUUUUUGCUGCCUGUAUACGCAAAAGAGAUUAGAUAGUUUAGAGUGAUAUUUACAUGUAAGUAGUGAUAUUUACAUACAUGCAAUACAUUUAAUCUCCCGUGUUUUAUCAUUUCAGCUUACUAAAAUGUUUUGAAAGGAUAAAAUCACCAGUUUUAGAUGUGUGUAGCCAGCUGUGGGCAUUAGGGAAUGUAUAUAUUUAUAUACAGCAGAUGUGAAGGAGUAAUCAACUUGUUUGAAUGACUUAAAGCAUGUUUAACAAGAGGUUAAUAUCAUGAAACCUGUGAAGAACAUGUUUGAGUAACAUUUCAACCCAGAAUCAAAAGUGCUUAAAGAAUUUGUUGCAUUGUUUUCAAGAAAACUAAGCACACUUUAUACCCCAGUUCCCAAGAAUACUUUAUGUACCUCAUUGUGAAUCACUGCCAUGUUUGUCAGAAAUCUAGGAACAUCAAGAAGCUAGUCCAGAAUCUUUAUCGAUAAACAUAAACCUGUGAAGCAUGCACGGCGCUGUCAGUCUUAAAAAAAGUUGGUUGUGUAUUUGUGCCUUUACUCAUUCACAAUUACUCCACAGAAUGCAGAGGAAACUAUGCAUUUGAAUACAAUAAAGAGACAACUAAUGUACUGUAUUUGUCUGUUCAUGUUUUUUUGUUUCCUUAAUGUGUUUUUUGA